rnacentral:rRNA from 1 species
UACGUAGGGUGCAAGCGUUAAUCGGAAUUACUGGGCGUAACGCGUGCGCAGGCGGUUAUGUAAGACAGGUGUGAAAUCCCCGGGCUUAACCUGGGAACUGCAUUUGUGACUGCAUAGCUAGAGUACGGUAGAGGGGGAUGGAAUUCCGCGUGUAGCAGUGAAAUGCGUAGAUAUGCGGAGGAACACCGAUGGCGAAGGCAGCCCCCUGGGCUAGCACUGACGCUCAGGCACGAAAGCGUGGGGAGCAAACAGG